AUGAAGAACGCAGCGAAAUGCGAUAAGUAAUGUGAAUUGCAGAAUUCAGUGAAUCAUCGAAUCUUUGAACGCACAUUGCGCCCCCUGGUAUUCCGGGGGGCAUGCCUGUCCGAGCGUCAUUACAACCCUCAAGCUCAGCUUGGUGUUGGGCCCCGCCGCCCCGGCGGGCCCUAAAGUCAGUGGCGGUGCCGUCCGGCUCCGAGCGUAGUAAUUCUUCUCGCUCUGGAGGUCCGGUCGUGUGCUCGCCAGCAACCCCCAAUUUUUUCAGGUUGACCUCGGAUCAGGUAGGGAUACCCGCUGAACUUAAGCAUAUCAAUAAGCGGAGGA
rnacentral:misc_RNA from 1 species